GACGAACGCUGGCGGCGUGCCUAAUACAUGCAAGUAGAACGCUGAAGAGAGGAGCUUGCUCUUCUUGGAUGAGUUGCGAACGGGUGAGUAACGCGUAGGUAACCUGCCUGGUAGCGGGGGAUAACUAUUGGAAACGAUAGCUAAUACCGCAUAAAAUGGAUUAUCGCAUGAUGAUCCAUUGAAAGGUGCAAAUUCAUCACUACCAGAUGGACCUUCGUUGUAUUAGCUGGUUGGUGGGGUAACGGCUCACCAAGGCGACGAUGCAUAGCCGCACUGAGAGGACGAUCGGCCAGACUGGGAGUGAGACACGCCACAGAGGGAUAGGGGAGGCAGCCGUAGGGAAUCUUGGGCAAUGGACGGAAGUCUGAGCGAGAAACGCCGAGUGAGGGAAGAAGGUUUUCGGAUGGUAAAGCUCUGUUGUAAGAGAAGAAAGAGUGUGAGAGUGGAAAGUUCACACUGUGACGGUAUCUUAUAAGAAAGGGACGGCUAACUACGUG
rnacentral:rRNA from 1 species